AAUAGAUACCCCGGUAGUCCACGCCGUAAACGAUAGAUACUAGCUGUUGGAGGUAUCGACCCCUUCAGUAGCGAAGCUAACGCGUUAAGUAUCCCGCCUGUGGAGUACGGUCGCAAGACUAAAACAUAAAGGAAUUGACGGGAGCCCGCACAAGCGGUGGAUUAUGUGGUUUAAUUCGAAGCAACGCGCAGAACCUUACCUAGGUUUGACAUCCUUUGACAACUACAGAGAUGUAGCUUUCGUAGCAAUACGACAAAGAGACAGGUGCUGCAUGGCUGUCGUCAGCUCGUGUGGUGGCAUGUCGGGUUAAGUCCCCCAACGAGCGCAACCCCUGUGUUUAGUUGCCAGCAUUAAGUUGGGCACUCUAGACAGACUGCCGUGGUUAACACGGAGGAAGGCGGGGAUGACGUCAAGUCCUCAUGGCCCUUACACCUAGGGCGACACACGUAAUACAAUGGUUGAUACAGAGGGAUGCGAAACGGCGACGUGGAGCAAAUCCCAAAAAGUCAAUCUCAGUUCGGAUUGGAGUCUGC
rnacentral:rRNA from 1 species